rnacentral:piRNA from 1 species
UAACCCACAUAGCCUUCUUGUUCUGGUGA